UACAGAGGAGCCAAGCGUUGUCCGGAUUGACUGGGCGUAAAGCGCACGCAGGCGGUCUGGCGCGUGGGGUGUGAAAUCUGGCCGCUUAACGGCCAGGCGCCAUCCCAUACGGCGCGUCUGGAGUGAUGCAGAGGUCGAUGGAAUUGCCGGUGUAGUGGUGAAAUGCGUAGAGAUCGGCAGGAACACCCAGGGGGAAACCAGUCGACUGGGCAUCUACUGACGCUGAUGUGCGAGAGCGUGGGGAGCGAACCGG
rnacentral:rRNA from 1 species